AUGCUCACCUCUCCCUUCCCGCCGGACAGCGGGCGUCUCAGAGGAGGUCGAAGCGGCCGCUUACCUCUCAGGAGGCUGAGCCCGGCGGAUGUAAUGAAUGGUCGCUUGGUUGUCCCACUCGGAGCGCUGCCUGUCAAGCACGCUCAACCGGGGUCAGCUCGCCCCGAGCGCCACAGCCUUCUCGGCAUGAACGUGCGUUCGUGACGCCGCAGCGCACUUCGACGGCCGCUUCCAGCUCGCUGUCCCCGAGGUUUCCGUCGCCGGAAGGCGAUGUCGAACAAGUAGCUGGAGGCCGCCCGCAAGCCGUCACGCUGCGUUCUUCAUCGAUG
rnacentral:misc_RNA from 1 species